GAGUGAGUGAGUGAGUGAGUGAGUGAGUGAGUGAGUGAGUGAGUGAGUGUGAGAGAGUGAGAGUGAGUGAGUGAGUGCACGUGUGUGCAUGCGUGCAUGCUUAUUUGUGUAUGUAUGGAAGCAUAUUCAGAUGCAUAUGUGUGCACUCUUGUUAGUGUGCUCAUAUUUAUGUGCAUGUGUGUGUAUGUGUAUGUUAAAUAUUUGUGUGUGUGUGUGUGUGUGUGUGUGUACGUACAUGCAUCCGCAUAUAUGAUUAACUUUUUAAUUCAUGUAAAAGAGCUGCAUCACUUCUGGUCAGUUGCUGAGCUUAUGGCAUGAGGAAGUAUGGGACUAGUUACCCUGGUUUCUCAAAUGACACUGGCUGCAGUUGUUGACAGGAGCUCAACAAGUGUGGUGAGGCAGUCAAAGGCUGUCACCAUAUUCUUACAAAAUAGUAAAUAAUUUGUGCCUAUAUUACUGUACCAACUGUAAAGUCAUUUGUACCAUCCUCAUAUAUUGCAUAGUGAACAUGCCAUCCUCAUAAUAUUUAUAGUACAUAUUAUACACUUCAUGGAACAUGUCGCUUCAAGUUGUGGACUAUUUUACUAAGGUUAUGAAUAAAACACUUAAAAUGUAUAAUAGAAUGAUGAUAAUGAUGAUUGUAAUGAUUAACUCCAAAGCUUUCUUUAAGAUAAGUCUUCUCUAUUUUAUUGAACAGAAAUGAUAUGUAUUUUAUGAAUCAAAAUAGGAAAUCAAAUAAAGUUGGACACUAUUAAAUUAGAACAUUUGUAGGUUGUUUCAAAUCUUGUAGGAACAGGUCCCUUUUGCAGUUAUUUAUUAUGCGUAAUAAAUUGUUAUAAAAAUCAGUGUUGUUUUCCAUUUUCUCCAUUCAAACACAUGGACCACUUUGUUAUGUAUUUGAAGCUCAGGAAUGAUGAGGCCAUAUCAGUGACUAUGUAAAAGAAAUGUGUGCAAGAAUGAGGAACAUGAAGCUUUAUAGAAGCCUAAAAAGCACAGUGAAAAUGAAUUCUGAGGAGCAGUGUAGUAAUGUUGACUGCAGUACAGCUGGCCUGGCAUACUCAACUGAAUGUGUGGGUGGCUGCAGAAAGCCAUGUUAGAGAGGUACAAAGGGAUUUUUGGAAAAAUAUAGGUGAUUUCAGAAUGAGGUCAGAAUUCUUGUAGAGCCCAUAUGGUAGGUAACCAAGAUUUUUUUUGACAGAACUAUUGUAACCUACCAGGAAUGUGAAAUUAAACAAUUUAGACAAAUUACUCAGACUAAGCUGUGGGUGGUAGGAAGGCAGGAAAGGGCCUGAAUGGGUAAGCAAUCAGUGCAAAUGUGUGUAUGAAUUUAUGUAGAGGCUGGUAAUACAGUAGAUAUUCUGAGUAUAAGAGACAAGAGAUUACCAUAAAUUUAGCUUGUAUCAUGUUAUCAACACCAGGAUUCUUUUAAUGAUAUUUUAUAGAUUUGAAUAAUGUUACCCUCUCAAUUUCUGUAGUAGAAUGCAAUUUUAUUUUAAUUUUUUCUCCAAAUGUAAAAUCACAGCAUGAACAAUAAUAAUUAACUCAGUCUUUGGGGAAAUGUGUUCACUGUAGUAUUGUUUCGUGAAAUGUCUAGACAAGUGCUUAUCCACAAAGGAGUCAAAUAGUAGACCUUGUAACUUCACCUUUCCUCGAGUUUGUGGGGAAAAUGCUGUUUUAACUCGUUAUUUUUAUUAAAGAUAUUAUAAUUA
rnacentral:lncRNA from 1 species